UACGCAUCGGCACUCCUCCACUUCACUAGGAGUGAUGUGUGUGUGUGGCAGGGAAGGGGGGUGUCUGUGCCUGGGCCUGUGCAGCAGCAGCGUCUACUCCUCUCACGCCAUCUCCUCAUCCGUCUCUCUUUCUCUUCCCCAUAUUAUUCUGCUCCCUUCACGAUAGCUUAGCGGCGCGCUCGACACACGCAGUGGGGGGGGCCGCACACGAGCACGCAAACGGUGCGCAGCCUGCUUUCCUGUGUGUGUGUGUGCGUGUGUAUUUAUGGCAUUCAUAAGUGUGUGACGUACGUGAGCGGUAACGAAUCGCUGGUCUACACCUCUUGCCCACCCAGCCGCCCCCUCCUCAUCUCCCCACCCCCUACACACACACAUUCGUGCCCAAAGAGUGAAGGUCGCACGCACACCCUCGAGGAGGGGUGCAGCUACUGACUUGCGUGCCCGACAGUGGCGCCUGUGUGUGCCGUGCGAACUCCUAUCAGAGUUCCUCAUAGCUUGUACUUGCUUGUCCUGUAGGCUCGUUUUUUUUUCUUCGUAUUAUCCUGUGGCGAUUUGGAGAGUGUGCGGGGUACUUCUCGGAGGCCACCUCCGGCCACGCAGUUCCAUGUCGCACCCCGCCUUUUCGUCUGGGCAGCCCCCGGGCAUGACCGGCAGUGCGGGAGGCACCGGCUCCGCCUUGCUCCCCAACAUCACAGCUGAACUUCGCGGCGAGUUCUACCCGCUCCUCUCCACCCUCGCAAGCUGUGAGAGCGACAUCUCGGCCACGUACGUGAUGGAACUCUUCUUCACGCUCGUCCGUCUCGACGCAGUGCUCAAGGCAGAGGAGAGGCAGCUUUUCGUGAGCACCGCGCAGCAGCUUAUCACGCGGCUGCUGCAGCAGUUGCAGAGGGUGCAUCGCAUGCGGCAACUCAUCGACGAGAACGAGCGCUUCGUCGGCGAGCUUGUCGAGCGGUGUGCUGCGCUGGGACGUCUGUGCAGCGCCCGAGACGGCGAUGGUGACUGUCACACGAACGAUGGCGAAGACGCAGACGACUUGGACGUGAGUGGGCAGGCCUUGCCAGCACCUCAGGUAGAGGACGACGUCGUCGACGGGCACGGCGAUGGCGAAGAGACGGUGUGUUCCGUGGCCACGACGAGGGCGGCUGGAACCGCAGCGACCCGUCUCCGCACCUCGCCACCGGCCGCGCAUGCCGGAAGCACCAUCGUCGGCCCGGAACUGCGACGUUUUUCGUUUGACGACAGCCUCGACGAAAUCGAGAACCGGGCCUGGACGGUGCAGCAGUCACAGCAGCAGCAGCUCAGAGAUCGCUCCGGCGGCAGCGUGCGAUCAACGUCGGCAGAAACAACGGAGGGGGGCGGGACGACGACGUCCCCCUCUACCUCCUUCUCGCUUCGUCAGUGGCUCCUGCAGCGUCCUCCACCGCUGCAGUGGCAGAACAGUGGUCCUCGCACAGCCAGUCGUCGACAGCACAUUGGUCACACCCACAGCGGUGCGGCUACACCGCGCAUGCAUGGCAUCAUCACCAGCCCCGGGCAGGCAACCGGCAAAACCUUUGACGAGGAUAGAGCGCGAGCCGAAACAACUUCGGGUAGCUUCGCAGAAGCAGCUGCACCGAUCGAUGUCACACCUGCGGUGUACAUGGGCGUGCAGCUAGCGCUCCAGGAGCACUUCCGCAACAACGUCCGGCACACUCUCACCGGCAGCACGCUCGCGGUGCCAAGGAACCUGAACGAGCUGGUUCAGCAGCAGCAGCCGCGCGGCAUCACAACGAGGCCAAGCAGUCACAGCAGUGAGCGGGUCUCGACAGACGGUGGCGUUGCAGAGGCAGACAUGGACUUAGCUCCGCAGCAACAGUCGCUGGCCCUGAACCCCUCUCUCGUCUCCUCCCCAGGGGUGGCGCAGCACCCCUUCUUGUCUUCUUAUGCCAUCAACCCUCCUAACGCCAACACAAGCAUCUUCUCCCUGGCAGGAGCGCCCUCCGCGGCGUCGACGAGCAACGCUCUGGGCACCGAUGCGGGUGGCUCGCACGGCCUGAAGAUGGGAAGCGGCUUCUCUGCAUUGCACUCCCCGACGACGCAGGAUCCGGUGGACACGGCGAGGGUGUGGGACCGCACGUUCUGGAGAUUUCUGGGCGGGCUCACCGCCACUGGCGACCUCGCAGUGCUGCUUACACUGUUGAACACGGAAAAUCCAGCGCAGACUCAGAGUACCGCAGCACUAACCGCUGCCACCAGCGGUGUCUCCGCCGGGUACAAGGGCUCGUUCGGGACUGGCAGGGGUGGCGCUAGCACAAAGAGCGGCAUGACAAGCAACGCGGCUGCGGCGGCGGCGACCGAUGCGGCAGGGGUGCCUGGUAAGAGCCUGGCGGCCAGCCCGCACACACCCAAAUGCGAGGUGCAACUGCUUAUGGAGGCACUCAAGCGCAGCGGCACCUACUCGCAUCUGUUGCCCGCAGCGAGCACUUUUCAGGUGCUGAGCAACAGUAUCGCCUCAGGCGCAGGCACUGCCGGCGGCGCCAGAUUCGCAGACGAGACAGCGAGCGGCCGCGUCGCCACUAAGGGUGAACGGGAGAUGCUGGACGACGAGGUCGAGCAUCAGCAGCACGCCCACGGAACACCGCUGAGCCCUGAAGCACAGAACCCUGCCCCCGUCGGUAGUGUGUGGUCCACCGGCUCGCGUAUGCACAACAACGGCUGCACAGUGCUUCUCAGCUUGGAUGACUUGGCGAGGGAGGAAGAGGUGCGGCUGCAUCGCGACUUCUGGACGCACAUCCCGGCCAUCCUCGCGACGCUCACGGAGGGCGUCAUGUACGGCGGCAGCCACGGAGCUGCACACUCGCACAAGGGCAGCGGAAGCGCGCCCUCUGAGGCAGGCACCGGUCGUGGUGAGGUGGCUAGCCUGCGUGACCAUCACGGCAGUAGUGACUGCUGGAACUCCGCCCCUCGUCACGGCGCCACCAACGAGAGCGGGAGGGCUGAUGAGGCGCUGCAGGACCUGGCGGCGAGUGUUGGCGUUGUAGCCUCGGCAGCUGAGGACGGAGAGGACGAGAACGUACUCGCUGCGCUUCAUCUACCGAGCGUGGAAGCGCUGCAGCUGCUGCCCACCUUCUGCCCUUUCCUGCACAACUACACUGGCGCAGUGGCGUGGCUGAUCCGCUCGGCACCCGAGUAUGCGCGCUCCACACAGGCCCAGCACGCUCGUGCGCUCGCCGUCGUGUCAGCCGCGGCAGCUCAACAGCAGCAGCAGCGACAGGCUGCCCUCUCACCCAACGCCAACGACGCGACCGGCAUUGGCGGCGAGUGCCCAGGGGAGUGCGAGCACAGCGCCACCGCCUCUACCAGCUCGGCAAGCGCGCCGCUGAGCAACGCGCGUGCUGGGCUAACGCGCACGGCGGCGCAGCGCUUCUCUGUGGCGCACAUGCAGGAGUUGAAGGACAGCCACACAUCACUCAGUGGGAGUGACCGUCGACCAGGAGGUGCUGCUGCUGCGGCGGCGGCGACAGGGCGCACUUCGAAUGCCAACAGCCCAGCACCCGCGGAGGUUGUGGAGCACGGCCUGUUGGCAGCUGGGAGUCGCACAGAGGUUCGAGCGGUGGACGUCGUCGUUCACGCCCUUGUCAACGCUAUCCAUGUCCAGUGCGUCAUGGCCGUCGCGAUGCAGCAACAGGCACGCGCCAAAGCCACGGGCUACGCGAUGGCGGCGUCGGCGACGGCCGACGGGAAGACCGCUCUCUUCGAGGGUGGUCGCACGCCGACUGUCGGGAGCCCUCCGCAUGGAAACGGGCCGUGCGCGCGGGGCUCCGCCGGCGGCAGCUCUGCUGCCGAGGGUGGCCUGGGCACGACAAGCGGCAACAACAACGCCAGCAUGGUCACUGGCGAGGACCGUGUCCUCGAUAAAAGCGCUGCCAGCGUCAGCCUGAUCUACGCCGGCGUUGGCGAGCCUAGCGGGUGGAAGAACGGCACCCUUAGCGGUGGCCUACGCGACAGCGGCAGCGGCGGUGGCUACUCACUGAAUGCGAGCUUCGGUCUGUCGCCGAGCACGUUGUUUCACUCGAACCUACAUCCACCGCAUCCCAUGGCCAUGCGCGCCGGCGCCGGCGGCGGCGGCGGCGUUGGUGCGGCGAUAGGGAGCAUGAGCAACGGCUCUUACCAUGACCCGCGAAACCAUCACCUACCACAGGCGCAUGCGCAUCACCAGCACCCGCAGCAGCCUUCACAGCUGCUGCGCAACUUCUCGUUCGACACGACGUGCUCGCCAACGGAUGCGGCGCUCUCGCUCUUGCGGAUGGCGCGUGAGGGUAAGAGCAACGGCAACGGCAGCGGGGAAGGGGAGGGAAGGCCGGACAGCGCCGGCAGCGAUGGAUCUGCGGCGGCGAACCUUGGCCUCCAGCCGUCACUCGAUCUCCCAACACCGUGCAUCAAUCUGCACUCCAUUGAACUCACUACGCAGGAUAUUGUCGCCUGCGCCAACGACUUCUCGUGGGUGUCGCUUCCGUGCAUCAUGAAGGCGGAGCUGCAGCACCUGCAAGAGCAGCUGCGCGGCACCAGACGCGCGGCGCAACGCAUGGAGGGGCAGGUGCGAGGUGAGCUAGCCUUACUCAUCUUCCGCCUCCUGUCCAUUGUCCUGGACUGGCUCAUGCCUGCCGUGUACGUGGCAGACCCACGUGUGUGGUUAUUCUACCGCAAGUGGUGCUGCGACCUGUACCGCGUCUUGUGCACGGAUGCCGCCCUCCUUGAGGAGUUCCACAGGCUCUUGAAUCAGAGCGACCUCGCGGUGAGCAGCACGGCGGCGGACGUGAGUGGUCUGCCGAGCCGACAGCGUGGGUCGGCGAGGGACAUGCACAGGGUGGGUCGGGCCAAGGCGCGCUCGGUGACCAGAACGCCUACCCUCAGCCCUCCACGGGACCCACCGUCGUCGCCAGGUAGCGGGAUGACGCAGCCGCAGCCACAGGCUCGGUUACACUUGCCCGGUACGUCGGCAGCAGUGAGCGCCGCCGCCGCAGACAACGGUGAUUACCACGAUGCCAGUGCGGGCUUCGUUGCGCUUGAAGGAGCGGCGGCGUCCACGGGUGGAGCUGCGCGACACCGUAGCGUCUCGUGUGCUUCACCUCUGAUGGACAAUGCCUCGGCGGCUACCGGUGCAUCAAUCGAGGACGCCUUCAGCUUCAUCCUUCCAGGGUCCAGCCUCGCUGUUUCGGUGUCGCGCGAGACGCCGCCCGUGCGACCUGGGGUGCUGAACCUGCUUGCCCAGGAAGAGGUGGAUCGAAGAGGAGAAGCCAUAGCCGACAUGGCGUCGUUGCGCGCUGCGCAGGCGCUGCUGAAUGACGAGGGGACUGUGGUGCCGCUGCCGUGCCCGUUCCUGAUCACGCGUCUUGUGGCGGCGACCUUGCGUGGCAUCGAUGCCGACAUCGCCGAGUCUCUUCUUUGGGUCGCUGGGCAGGCGCCUGCCUCAGACUCCGCUGACGGGGCGGGUGUCGGCAGCGGCGUCGAGGAUGCCGCCGGUGGCAUCUUGGUGGAUGCGCUAAGGAGCAGAAGCGUCAAGAGCGGCACGCCGCAAAGCCAGCGCGCGGCGGCCGUAGGCCCUCGGGGGUUGCGGGAAGACGGAGAGCGCCGCGGCACCAGUGGCGGCGGGCACGCACAUGAUGCGGAGGAGGAUGAGGGAGAGAUUGCUGUGCCGGGGCGGCACCUUAGCCACGCGGCUCACCGUACUGCCUCCGGGCAUCGGUUGCCCUCACACCACCACAGCCGCUGCGUUCGCCACCACCGGAGCAUCUCCGCUGAUGCCCGCGUGGGAGGCGGCGCGUCUUCAGCGGCUGCCAGCUACUACACCGUCGAUAGCGAGGAGGACGACGCCGGAUACGGCGAUAACUGGUAUGGCGUCCUCGCACGUCGUGAGAGGAGCCAGCUGGCGCCUUCUCCUCUGUUGGGCCCCGCCACGGCCAACGGUUCGGGAAAAGGAGCCGCCGCCGGCGCCGCCAGUGCCUCCUCUGUUCUUCCGCACGCCAUCACUCGCAACCCCUUCAGCGACCUCGCCUCCACCGGUGGCCCACAGCGCCUGUCCCUCCCACCCCAGCCAUCCGAAGGCCCCACACUGGUGCACCAUCACCGCUUCCGCUACCCGUCCGUUCACGGCUACGCGGAUGUGGCGGAGCUGUAUCUCAGCACGCUUGAUGACGCAGAGCUCGUCCUCUCACCACACGAUCCUGUGUAUGCCUCGCUGGUGCUGAGCACCGCGGACCUGCACCUGCACGAUCUACGUGACACCGCCACGGCCGCCUCGUUGGUGAACGCGUACUUGGUAGAUGUUGGCGAGGAGCACAUACAGGGGCCGGUGUGGAGGGAGUUACCCGCCGUCGUGAUCAGCGACGAGGGCGGCGGCGUUGCGGCCUCGCCGCUCAACGUCGCAGGAGAUGGAGCCGGGAGCUCUUCGUCUGCACGACCAGCGCCAGGUAGGGGCUUUUCUGUGACGCGUGCGCAGCAAGGCAACACGCAGGGCCCAACCUCGACAACCGCAGCCCCGAGCGCCGCCGAGGUGGCUGCUGUGGCGGCAACGGCGCCGACUGAGAGGAGGCCGCCGCGGCCGCCACAGCAGCAGCGGCCGUACGUGCCGAUGGUCAUCCCGUCCUGGAACAACGAGCAAGAGAAGGAAGAGUUCCUCGCGACACUGCAGCUGCUGCGGCAGAUGCAGGUCUUUCUCGCUGUGGAGCAGACGAAGCUGCAACACGAUGUGCUGGAGAGUUGACGGGGCUAUGGGAGUGUGUGGUGUGAGAGGGCAGUGCGGGGGGGGGGGGUGAGAUGGGCCGGUCGCCGGAGAUAGGUGACGGUGGCCUCUUUGCUUCGCUGUUGAGCCUGCAUCGCUCUAAAAGUUGGGGGCAGCAGUCACGAAACUGCACCCCACUCCACCCCAACCCACCCCGCACGUGUCAGCCCGAGUCCCCAUCCCGCCUGCAUCCAUGUCUCCUUCCUCGUACCUGCGGGGCGGAAAACGAUGCUUUUCGGUUGUCUUUCUUUUUUUGGGGGGAGAGUGGGAGGUUAUAUAUGUGUGUUUCGUGUCAUAUCUGUGAAAGCACGAGACGAGGACAGCUAGGUGUCCCCCCCGUUGCCUGCCCGUGACGCGGCGAAUGCAGGAAGGCCCGAUAGCACCACGCAGCCUUGACUCCGAAAGGGUGAAAAGAGAAGUGUAUAUAUAUAUAGACUUGGGACAUUGUCGAGUGUGAUGUCGCCCUCUCCCCCACCCUUCCUCUUCAAACACCAGCGAGGGCGGCGAGGGCAUCACCCAGGACUGUGAGUCGAAAAUUUGUAGACCGGCGUAAAACCGCGUCGCUCCCGUCACGCCGGUGCGAAGCCUUUUCUCUGGAGCUUUCAUGUGACUCUCUAUUCCCCCCCCCUCUUACCGUGCAG
rnacentral:misc_RNA from 1 species